GAUGAACGCUGGCGGCGUGCUUAACACAUGCAAGUCGAACGGUGAAGCAGAGCUUGCUCUGUGGAUCAGUGGCGAACGGGUGAGUAACACGUGAGCAACCUGCCCCUGACUCUGGGAUAAGCGCUGGAAACGGCGUCUAAUACUGGAUAUGAGCUGCGACCGCAUGGUCAGCAGUUGGAAAGAUUUUUCGGUCUGGGAUGGGCUCACGGCCUAUCAGCUUGUUGGUGAGGUAAUGGCUCACCAAGGCGUCGACGGGUAGCCGGCCUGAGAGGGUGACCGGCCACACUGGGACUGAGACACGGCCCAGACUCCUACGGGAGGCAGCAGUGGGGAAUAUUGCACAAUGGGCGAAAGCCUGAUGCAGCAACGCCGCGUGAGGGAUGACGGCCUUCGGGUUGUAAACCUCUUUUAGCAGGGAAGAAGCGAAAGUGACGGUACCUGCAGAAAAAGCGCCGGCUAACUACGUGCCAGCAGCCGCGGUAAUACGUAGGGCGCAAGCGUUAUCCGGAAUUAUUGGGCGUAAAGAGCUCGUAGGCGGUUUGUCGCGUCUGCUGUGAAAUCCCGAGGCUCAACCUCGGGUCUGCAGUGGGUACGGGCAGACUAGAGUGCGGUAGGGGAGAUUGGAAUUCCUGGUGUAGCGGUGGAAUGCGCAGAUAUCUGGAGGAACACCGAUGGCGAAGGCAGAUCUCUGGGCCGUUACUGACGCUGAGGAGCGAAAGGGUGGGGAGCAAACAGGCUUAGAUACCCUGGUAGUCCACCCCGUAAACGUUGGGAACUAGUUGUGGGGUCCAUUCCACGGAUUCCGUGACGCAGCUAACGCAUUAAGUUCCCCGCCUGGGGAGUACGGCCGCAAGGCUAAAACUCAAAGGAAUUGACGGGGACCCGCACAAGCGGCGGAGCAUGCGGAUUAAUUCGAUGCAACGCGAAGAACCUUACCAAGGCUUGACAUAUACGAGAACGGGCCAGAAAUGGUCAACUCUUUGGACACUCGUAAACAGGUGGUGCAUGGUUGUCGUCAGCUCGUGUCGUGAGAUGUUGGGUUAAGUCCCGCAACGAGCGCAACCCUCGUUCUAUGUUGCCAGCACGUAAUGGUGGGAACUCAUGGGAUACUGCCGGGGUCAACUCGGAGGAAGGUGGGGAUGACGUCAAAUCAUCAUGCCCCUUAUGUCUUGGGCUUCACGCAUGCUACAAUGGCCGGUACAAAGGGCUGCAAUACCGUGAGGUGGAGCGAAUCCCAAAAAGCCGGUCCCAGUUCGGAUUGAGGUCUGCAACUCGACCUCAUGAAGUCGGAGUCGCUAGUAAUCGCAGAUCAGCAACGCUGCGGUGAAUACGUUCCCGGGUCU
rnacentral:rRNA from 1 species